GGGGCGGCGUGGGGUGACGGAGCAGGAAGGCAGGCGUGGCUGUGGCACAGCCGCCCUCUCUUUCAGGCCUUUAAGCAGAGCAGGAGAUGCUACCUCCACCGGGCUCUCGCUCAGGCAACUUGGACCCAUCUGGAGGUCAUUCACUGUAAGAGGCCUGUGGACACUAAAGAGAGCUUAACUCAGAAGAGGCAGUGGCUACAAGGAAGCUCCUGUUGAGCCUCUCGGCAGCGUGCUCUGCACAAAUGGAACCGUGGGGAAAUUGAGAUGAUAAAUCUGUUGCUGUUGAGCAUGCACAAGCUGUGCCCUCCAAGCCCUGGAAAGGCCCAGACUCUAACAGAUUCCUUGUGAUGCAAAAAAGGCUUAUUCAAAAGCUUUCAGAAUCUCAAGUCUCUGCUUGAACAUCUAGAGUCUGUAGAAGAAAGCUAGCCAGUUGGGAGGGUUUAAUGUACUCCAAACAAAAUAUAGGUGUUUGAAGUAGAUUGAUGUUUUUCAUCUGUAAUUAUUAAUAAAAAUACCCUCAUCUUGA